UACGUAGGGUGCAAGCGUUAAUCGGAAUUACUGGGCGUAAAGCGUACGCAGGCGGCCUUGCAAGACAGGUGUGAAAUCCCCGGGCCUAACCUGGGAACUGCAUUUGUGACUGCAUGGCUAGAGUUUGUCAGAGGGGGGUGGAAUUCCACGUGUAGCAGUGAAAUGCGUAGAUAUGUGGAGGAACACCGAUGGCGAAGGCAGCCCCCUGGGAUGUGACUGACGCUCAUGUACGAAAGCGUGGGGAGCAAACAGG
rnacentral:rRNA from 1 species